UGGUCCGACCCGGGUUCGAACCGGGGACCUUCUGCGUGUAAAGCAGACGUGAUGACCACUACACCACCGGACC
rnacentral:tRNA from 11 species